UGUAUUUUACCUUAAGUAACAUUAUUCUGAUUUAUGCACAGGUUUUACUUUGCCGGUCCUUACAAGGAAUCAAUAAACCUUAUCCACCACAAUGGAAGGAGCACCAAACCCAUCCAAGAAGAGCUCAAUCAGCAGGCAGAUGA